UUCUCACCACAAUUUAAAGGCUCUGGUCUUCUAAACUCCCUCGCUGUGUAGCGUAGGGUUUAAGCCAUCAAUCACCCUUUCAUCUCUCGAUUUUGAGUCAGAUACUUUAAACUCACUCUCCGCUUCUCUAAACCAGAAAUGGCAUCGUUUUGCAGAUCGGCAAUAACGGCAACCUCAAGGUCCCUGGCAUCUCGAUCCAAAACGGUAACUCAGAAAACACUAAACGCAAAAUCCAUGUCUUCUCCUUUCACUUCAACACCAACACGAACUAUCCUUGCCUCUUCAAGGGUUGUUUCAGUUCUAGGGAGUGUGGAGUCACUGAUGCCACUUCACAAUGCAAUUGCAAAUGCUAGACUCAAAUCUAGCAUCGCUGUUGAUUCUUCCUGCUGGAGCUGGCUCUCUCGAGAUUUUGCAGUUCCUCGGUGACAAGACUCGGGUCAUUUCAAACCAAAUUGGGUUGCAUUUGAGCAGUUUUUCUUCCCCUAAUGUUGGUUCUUCUUUUUGACAUCUCAUUUCCAUUCGUGGCUAUUGCUUGAUGUAAGUCAUCUCUUGGCCAGGAUCAUUUACUUCAGCGGGGUUGAUGUAAUACUGGUGGUAUUAACAUCUCUCACAAAACAGAGAACACUAGAUCAGUUGGCGGAGGCACAUUUCCACAAAAAAAUCAAUGACACACAGAUCAUCAGCACCAUUGUCCAUCAAAACGUGCUGGUUGACUAUUGUGGAGAAACCGAUAUUUUCGUUGGAAUUCGUAGGAUUGUGAUUCGAUGAAUAUAACCUAACGUCCAUCCCAUGAGGUAAUGAGGCGUGGUAUUGAUUUAUCAUUUUAUGCCGUGUUGGCCUUUUUCUCUGAACGGGAGGAUGACCUGCAUACAGUAAUCACACCGAUAGAUGUAAUUUAUUACAUUAUCGUUUAUAUGUCUGAUAUCUGUCUCGCAAUAGUUGAUUUUCAAGAGUUUAUUUCAUAUGCACUCCAUUUUCAUUCA